rnacentral:lncRNA from 1 species
UUAAUUAUGGAAAUUAGGUUAAGUUUGUAAAAUUUAUAUGUUCAGUCAUUAGAAAAGUUAGCAACGAUUUAUAAAUUAUAGGAUGCCAUAUAUUUCAUUUGAAAAAAUAGGAUGCCAUAUUUGAUACUUUAAAGUUGUGAGAGUGGUCCAUAGUUAUAGAGAUAGUAACGAAUACAAUUCCUUGCUGACCAAGCUUUUAAUAAUGAUAUGAAAGCUUUAUGACAAUAAGGGUUUAUGGGGUCUAGCCAAUGAGAAAGUGGUAGGGAAAAAAGGGCCAAAUGGUAUUAUGACCCAACAAGAAAAUGCUCAUCCUAAUCAAGUUUGAAGUCAACUUUGUUGACAUGUCCCCCGUACACUUUUGCUUUAAUAUUGUCAAAUAAACAAGAACAAGAAGGAAUUUGGUGUAAGAAGUGCAUUGCCAAAAUAGGAAAUUGUGCUCACUCAUCAUCUCUAUCAUAAUUUAUUUAGUAAUAGUCUCAAAUUUGCUUAUGACUUGUGAUACAUAUUGAUCUUCAAUUUAAUUUGCAUAAAAAGACUUGUCAUGCAUCAAGGAAAGGAAUGUUUCCAUACCAAAAAAUUUAUUAACAUCCUACAAAAAAUUGUUUUUUGUAGAUUCAUACAUAUUCCAUGGAUAUUUUUUGGGUCAUGUUAA